rnacentral:rRNA from 1 species
UACGGGGGGGGCAAACGUUGCUCGGAAUUAUUGGGCGUAAAGCGCACGUAGGCGGCUUAGCAAGUCGGAUGUGAAAUCCCUCGGCUCAACCAAGGAAGUGCAUCCGAAACUGCUGAGCUUGAGUACUUAAGAGGAUCGCGGAAUUCCCGGUGUAGAGGUGAAAAUUCGUAGAUAUCAGGAAGAACACCCGUGGCGAAGGCGGCUCUCUGGGACGGUACUGACGCUGAGGCGCGAAAGCUAGGGGAGCAAACGGG